CCUCCCUCGGGGGCGGGGAUAAGCGAGCCUAAAAUGGCGGCCAGCCGCUACCGGCGUUUCCUUAAGCUCUGUGAGGAAUGGCCAGUGGACGAGACCAAACGGGGCCGGGACUUGGGCACUUACCUGCGGCAGCGGGUAGCACAGGCCUUUCGGGAGGGAGAGAACACCCAGAUUGCAGAGCCAGAGGCCUGUGAUCAGAUGUACGAGAGCUUAGCACGACUCCAUUCGAACUAUUACAAACACAAGUACCCUCGCCCCAGAGACACGAGUUUCAGCGGCCUGUCUGUGGAAGAGUACAAGCUGGUCCUGGCCACAGGGCAAGAAAAGACCUGCAGCACCUUGUAAUAGGAGGGUUUGCGGCCUGGCGAGUCUGAAAUGUGGCCGCGGCCUGGGUUACACCUUGGAAGACUUUAAGGAUGUGAAUAAAGGCACGUGGAAGAAACUACAGGAGAAGGUUACCCCUGAAGUGUCCUGAAGAGAAGCAUAAGUUCUGGGCUCAGUCUUUUCUCGCCCACCUACAUAAGUGUGGACUCUUUCAUGUCACCAUCAUAAAUAAAACUGCCUUGAUUGCCCCUGACCUCCUGGUUUGGGAAUCUCAUCUGGCCUUCACAAAAAGGAAA